AUGGCUCAGGAUGAAGCCUAGCGGCAGGCCUAACACAUGCAAGUCGAGGGGCAGCGGGUGUAGCAAUACACCGCCGGCGACCGGCGCACGGGUGCGUAACGCGUAUGCAACCUGCCGCGACAGGGGGAUAACGCUGUGAAAGCGGCGACUAAUACCCCGUAACACCCGGGUCGCAUGGCCUUGGGUUGAAAGGGGAGAUCCGGUCGCGGAUGGGCAUGCGUGACAUUAGCUAGUUGGCGGGGCAACGGCCACCAAGGCUGCGAUGUCUAGGGAGCUGAGAGGCUAAUCCCCACACUGGUACUGAGACACGGACCAGACUCCUACGGGAGGCAGCAGUGAGGAAUAUUGGUCAAUGGUCGGAAGACUGAACCAGCCAUGCCGCGUGGAGGAAGAAGGCCCUACGGGUCGUAAACUUCUUUUGCCCGGGAGUAAUAAGCGGGGUGCGCCCCGCGAUGAGAGUACCGGGCGAAUAAGCAUCGGCUAACUCCGUGCCAGCAGCGGC
rnacentral:rRNA from 1 species